GGAUGUAAGCUUACAUGCCUGUCAGCGAUUGUCGUUAACCCCCAUUUGGACUGAUAUCUGUUGAAGAAAGUUGGAGGUGAAGAAAAACUCAGCAAGACAACUGACUGCCGUUCCUGCAGUGAGCCCUGCUGAUUCAACUAUCUUCAACCACACUGAAUUCUACAUCCUUGGGUGUACUUUCUGGGUUUCUUUCAUGCCAGAAUAUAUAAAGAUU